rnacentral:lncRNA from 10 species
CUCAUUUUCUGUAACCUCAUAUUUCACAUUGUAUCACGUUAGGAUAUUGUGUGGGGAUAUCCCAACAAGUGCCUUUUGGGUUUGCACAUGUCCUUCCCAUCUCUUUUGCCCAAUCUGAGUCCGGUUGUGCCUCUGGGGCUCCUCCCAAUGGUUCAAGGGAUUUUAAACUUGAUCUACAUUUGAAGCUCUCAGCCUAUUUUCCAGAUCCUCUGAUACUCAAACAUUAUUCUUGCUCCCCUCUCAUCACCCAGCCUUCUCCAUCUCCUACACACUCUGAAAUAAUCUGUCAGAAGAUCCUCAUCCUGCCGUGCUGGCUUACUCUGGAUCAAGAGACAAAGACUCCAGCUCUAUCUCUGAUGGACCGAGUAGGAAGAAUCAGCAUGAGUCAACCCACCAGGUUUCCCAGAGCUUAAUCCAGAAGGGACCCAAACACUAGGGAUAAACUGGAGAUGUCCUCCUGAGCAACCUUGGAAACCACAUAUUGAAGAUGGUCUCUGAAUCACCCCUGGCCACCUGACUGGGAACACCAAAUAGGAUUGCUACAUGAGUGAAAAAUAAACAAUUUCUGGGCUGAGUCACUGAGACUUGUUUAUCUGUUCCAGCUGCUGGAGCUACCUUCACCAAUACAGGGGUAAUCAUAGUACCUUUUACUGGGAGGAUUAAGUGAGAUAAUGCUUACUCAACUGCCAGGUACACGGUAAGCACUCACCAUCAUCAACUUUUACUGUAGCAAGGAAGAGUUUACAGACCUG